rnacentral:lncRNA from 1 species
AAGGUGAAGAGUCUUAGGAUCAAUUUUAUUUUCUUAAGUUAUCUCAUCACCCUUUUCAUUUUGAAGUUUAAAUCUCUUCUCUCACACCUUUUGUUCAGUUUCUCUAAAUGAGGAUGCUGUCGUAAAAGUAACCUCAAUUGUUGAGGAACAAUUUUCUAAGGAUGUUGAAUUUGAAGUUCUAGAAUCGAAGCCUGCCCUUAUCAUUCCUUCGCCUCAAGCAUUUCAAUCUCCUUCGAUGCUAUCCGGAGGUAUAGAUUUUCUCCCUUCAUUUUAUUUUUAAGAACAUUAUUUGGUACUCGGAGAGGACUAAUUAUCAUUUUCUAUACUUUCAGGGGACCCUUCUCAACUAGAUGAAGAAUUAGUAAGUUCAUCAUCAGGUCCAUUGUUUCAUUAAUAAUUGCCAUUCGAUAGGUUUCCUAUGAAACAAGAUUUAAACUAAUUCUUAUAUAAAGAUUUUUUUUUUAAGUCUAUUGCUUCCGAAUCUUACAUUCAAACUUAAGGGAAUUGUUGCUCAAUAUUUGUAGAUGCUUAACACUGAAAUUCUUGUUUUCUAUUUUUAAUUUUAUCUGUAGUGGAAUCAGACUCUUGCAAAAUAUAAUAUAUGGUGUAAAAUAUAGUGAGGUUGAUCCAUUAUAAGAUAUGAUAUAUCAUUUAGUGAUUUAAAUCUGUGUAGGAAGAUCUUGAACCCCGGGGUUUGCAUAUUUUACGCAUUGUCCGUACCAACUGAGCUAAGCUUACGAGGACAUUCUAUUUAUUCAAGUUAACCACAUAUGAAUACAAUCAUCAAUGCAAUGUAUUUGAAUCAAACAUUUAUUUUUGAUGCAGGAAGAAAUGGAACAAACACUAGAGACAAAGCAUGAAUUUGUUGAAAAUGUUCCUCAACAAGAGAUGCCAUCAGUAGCAAUAAUACCAACAAAUUCAAAAGUAAUUUGAAGGCCAUGUGAAAAUCACUUGGAUAUUCCUCUCCAAAUAUAUACAUAUUCAAUAUUAGUCUAGUAAUGAAAUAAUUCAUAUGUUCUUACUACAGGAGUUGAUGAAUGAACAAGAAAUGGAGCAAAAACGUCUACGUGGAGAAAUUGAUGCUACCGUCAAACCUUCUCAAGAAAAUAAUGUAAUAUAGUACCACCUCAUUGUGCAUAUAAAUCUAAAAAAGAAACGUUAAAAAUAUGUUGCAACUAAUUUACAUUUUCAUGUUAUGCAAUCAGUUGGAAGCAUCAACUUUGUCGACCAUUUUCUUGUAUUCUUUUUCACACUUUGUCAGUACAGAAAUUGAAUUAUACUACAAUAUUGACAGGUUAGCGAAAUAAGUGUUGAAGAAGGAACUACAUCAGCUAAUGCCAAGACAAAAACAUCUUCACAGGUCUUCUUCUUACAAGUAUUAUUGUUCAUUUUUUAUAUAUUUCAUUGCGUUGGGAGCCUACUGCUUUUGACAUUUUGAUUCUUUUGUUUUAUAUUUUUUUCUAUAAUGAAGUAAGCCUAUUUCAGACGAAAAUAUCUAUAGCGUGGCUGAUCCUAUAAAUAUUAAGAAUUCAUAAUGAUAUCAUUCUUUUAUUUGAAUUUUGUAGGAAGAAGGUGACAACCAAAGAGCAAUAGCUUAUACUCCAAUUGACAUAACAAAGCCUGUAACCACUCAAGAUGUUGAUGUUGAAAUCUGGCAGGAAACUAGUAACACUAAUGAUGAUCAAGGUGAAGAAUCUUUGGAUCGCUUUUAUUUUCUUAAGUUACCUCAUCGCCCUUUUUAUUUUGAAGUUUAGCUCUCUUGUUUCCCAUCUUUUGUCAGUUUCUCUAAAUGAUGAUAAUGUCAUGAAAGCAAGCUCAAAUACUGAGGAUCAGUUUUCAAAGGAUGAUAACAUAUUAGUUUCCAAAUCAAGACCCUCUUCUAUUGCAUCUCAGUUUCCUUCAAAGCCUUCUGAAGGUAUUUUAUUUCUUUGUUUUAUUUUUAAUUAAUUUACUUGUGCUUAAAUAUGCAUAAUUAUUCUUUCCUAUACUUUCAGGGGACCCUUCUCAAAUAGAUGAAGAUUUAAGUUCUUCUUUUGUUGUCACCGGGGAGCUUGAGAAUCUAGUCUCCAAUAAUCAUUUGGCUAUUGAGAAAUUGUCUUUGUUGACUGACUUCCUUGUUAAGCAUCCUUCAGUUCUUCUAAGGGACACUUCAUUGAGUAGCAGAUACAAGGGUUAUGCCUACAACAGCCUAGCAGAGCUAUUGAAAUUCCUUCAAACUCAUAGUGUGUUGGAUGUGUUAGGUUCAAGCAACUCUGAAUUUGUUGAGUUAUUACAAGAUGUGCGUAGAUUUCCGUUUGAUAAGGAGUGGUUGGAUGAUGUUGAAAUGCGCGCUUUGUUUCCUGAUUUACAAUUCUCUCAAAAUGCAUUGCAAAAACUAUUGGAUUCCGAGCAGCGUGUCACGAAAGAAGUUGAAGAGAUGCGUUUAAAGAUAAACAUUUUUAAUCAACAUCUUGAAGAUCUUAAGCAUCAAUUGACAUCCUCUGAAGCUGAUUUGGAGACUAUCAUUCAACAGAAAGCAAAAAUUUUAGAAACUAAGGCUGCUUUAAGUGCCCCUCUCGGCUAUUAAACUAUCGUUUGUUCUUGGAUUGGAGCUUUUUAUCAUUAAAUAUUGUUUAUUUCUUUGCUAUUUUCUGCUUUUCUCAUUUGAAAUGAGCUACUAUGCGUAUUUUUAAAUUGUUAUCGAUUAUUAUUGUUGUAUCAAACAAAGGAAACACCAAAUUAAGAAUAUUGGAAUCGCAUAAUGUUGAAGUGGAGCUAUGAUUCUUAAUUACAACAACCAUUAAUAUACUUACAACAAGCUACCAUAACUUUUGUUUACAUUGCGUUGUUGCUAUAAGAUAUAUCUGUUUCUAAAUUGUCACAACUACUCUGUAAUUAAAUCACCUCUGUUCGAACCCUGAGAAUGUAGGGCUUGAAACGUAACAAGGGAGAGCUUUAUCGUUAAUAUGUAGUCAUAUUCGAUUAAAGGAUUGCAAUACUCACUUUAUAUACCCAAAAAAAUAACCUCCAGUUUUAUCCAUCAUCUUUUAUUUUAUGAAAUUAUCUACCAUCUUUCUCUUAUAGUGAUCCCAUGUCAAAUUAAUAAAAUCUAGUCUGUAUGGACCUUCAUGACCGUCCGUGGCUAUAAUCUAAGAUGUGGGUCUUUGGCCUCUGCUCCCAGAAUAUGUGAUUUGGUUGUCAGAUCUCUAACAACAAACCUAAAUGUCGACUCAUCGUAUGCACACUCCAUCAACCGAAAUGCUGAAAAUGUCCCCUGAUCUUAAAAGAGGCACACAUGUUGAAAUAUAACAUUUGAACAAUCGUACUCCUCCAUCUACAGGCUCACAUCCAUUGCAACAUGUCUCCUCAAUGUUAUUACCACCCAAUAUGGAUGUAUUAGUGGUAUUUUUCUGCAUUUUAUCGCAAGAAACUUUGCAGCGUAGCCUAGUAAUAUGUUAGUGUGUAGCCUCUAAAGAUUGGAUAGAUUGUUCAGAUUUUUCAUCUCAGAACUUUUGAAAGGGCUAAGAAUAAAGUUGUCUGUUGUAUGUGAUUAGCUUGGAGCUAUUCUUGGAAAAGGGGAAAAGAAAGCAUUGUAUACAGCAAUUGAUGCACUUGGUACACCAGAAAAUUUGGAGAGGCUUUAUUUAGAGGUUCAAGCACCAAAUACCAAUCCAUCAUGCAAUUGUAUCUACAUGAACAUGAUCAUCCAGUAACUCAUAGGGACCUCAAGUGUGAUAUAACAUACUUGUCAAUGGACAUCUUGGACAAGCAAAAAUUGGUGACUUGGGAUUUCCAUACAUAAACAAUUUUUAACUUUUAAUGUUCAAGGUAUGCUACCAGCAACACUUUUCUGAUUUGAAGAUGCAAAAGCAUUGGAGUUUAUUGGAAAAUGCCUAGUGAAUUAUAUGUUUUAUUCUAAUAUAUUUCCACUUUGUUAAAAAUAACCAAGUUGACUUUGAAAUUUCACAAGAAUCUCUGAAUCUCUCUCUUUGAGGUUUCACAAUUUUACUGUUUUGAGCCGCCAGGAAUCAAUCAAUUGGUUGGUAGGUUAGAUUCCAAAUUCAUAUGAAAAGCAAAGUGUGAAGAAGCAUAAACCAGUUAUUAUAGUAUUAGUGAAUUACUUUGUGAAUCAACGUCCCUAUAAUAUGACAUACUAUCUAACUGAUGGUAUCUAACCUUCUUAUCCAACUUUCGUCAAAUCAAUUAGAUUUCCUCAAAGUGAAUCCGAUAAGUUAUUUGCAAAACAUCAGGAGAGCUGUCGGAAGGACAUCGAACGUGCUUUUGGAGUGCUUCAAGCUCGAUUUAAAAUCAUCCGUGAACCAGCUCGCUUGUGGGACAUAGCCGAUUUGGGUAUCAUCAUGAGGUCAUGCAUCAUAUUACAUAAUAUGAUUGUUGAGGAUGAACGAGAUACAUAGGUUCAACGUUGGACCGAUUUUGAGCAACCUGAGGGAAGUGGAUCUAGUACACCGCAACCAUACUCGACCGAGGUGUUACCAUCUUUUGCAAAUCAUGUGCGUGCUAGAUCCGAGUUGCGUGAUUCAAAUGUUCAUCACGAAUUGCAAGCAGAUCUAGUGAAGCACAUAUGGACAAAGUUUGGAAUGUAUAGUGAUUGAAGAUGAUUUGUAUUGUACUAAAUAAAUUCCUUGUGUGUUGUAUGUUUAGUUUAUUAUCUUGCAUUUUAAGUUAUUUGUGUGUCACGUGUUUAGUUUGUUGUCUUGCAUUUUAAGUUAUUUGUGUGUCUCAUUUUAAGUUAAGAAAAUAAAAAUAAAUUAUUUUAUAAAAUUUUGUUUUUCCAAAAAAACUAAAAAAUAAAUAGUUAAUUGUAUUAUUUUAAUUUAAUUAUAAUCGAUAAUUUUAGGGCUAAACUACACUUUUCGCCCCCUAUGUUUCAAAAUGUUGCAAUUUUGGCCCCCUAUUAAAAAAAAUGGCAAUUUUGGCCCCUUUCAUCCAAAAAUUGCUGAGAAGACGCCACGUGUCCCAAAAAAAGGGCCAUAAUCGCAACUUUUUGUAAAGAUAAGAGGUCAAAAAGCAUAUUUCCCUUAUGUUAGGAGGUCAAAAGAGCAUAUUUCCCUAAACAUAUGGGGCAAAAGGUGUAGUUUAGCCUAAUUUUAGGUAAUUAUAAAAACAAAAAUAUAAAAUUAAAUAAAAAUAAGAAAUAAAAGGUGGUGGGGUAGAGUGUUGACUGAAAAAACCAUUGGAGAGGCAAAAAAAUUGAAUGAGUGUUGAAUUAUGAGAGAGAAAAUUAUGUAGAGUGUUAGAAAUUGAAAAAGUGGGUGUUGAAGGGUAUUGAAAUUUUUUUACCAUUGAGAAUGGUCUUACUUAAAACCAAAUCGUGACCAUUGGUUGGUUUAGUUCUUGUGUAAUCAAUCAAUAACUGAAGCUUUAAAUCAACGACAAGACUUGACUAGCUAGCUAGCUGUGAGCCUGUGAAGUCUCUGAAUAAUUUAAUUGAACAUUUACUUUAUACGUUGGACCAUAAGUUUGUUAUCAGAACUACAAUAUCAAAUUAUUCACUUAAUGCUGAUUGCAGAAACAGCUCUGCUAAUUUAAUGCUAGCUACUGUCCAGUUGUUGAGAACAGAGAAUUGAUACAAUUGCAGCACAUCUUCCGCCUAUGGUAAUUUCUCUUUUAUCUUCUCCUUCUUACAUGCAAACAUAAUAAUAACUACCACUUUAUUAUUGCAUAUUUGCAUUUAUGAAAAGUUAUAACAAUCUCAGUAUGUUUUCUAAAAUUAUUGGAAAGACUGUCUAGUUGUUGAACCAUAAUUAUAUUUCUACAACAGAGUUGUUGCAGUAAACACUACCUCGCUACUGCAUAUUGGAGAAUGAUCUUCAACAUUUGCUGAAACUGCUGGAACUAAGGUAAUCAUACUUUUAACAAUUUUAAUUAAUUUCUUAAGUUUUAUAAAUCAACUUGAGUUUUAUGCUUUUGUAUUAUUUUUUAGAGAACACCAACUUGAAUGGAUAAGGAUUGAAUCAAUCAAACAUAGUCUAUCUGUAAUAAAUUUUCUGUUCAAGCCAUGUUAUCUUUUCUUUUCAAACUAAGAGCUUAAAACCUGAAGCCUGCUUCCAAGUCAAAAUCCUCAAAAAUGUCCUCUAAUUUCAAGCAUUGAAAAAAGGGGAAAUAACAGUGGAUUGAUACAUACUGACGUAAGUUACAAAAACUUCAAUAUUUUAGAAAGCUACUACAUUGAUUAAAUAAAAGUUCGAUAUCCACUAUGAAACACUAACAGGAGAGGAGAGCCUUACCAUUUUGUAAAUGAUAUGAAAGGAUUAUUUAAUAAGUUGCAACAAUGCAAGGUCCUAUCUUUUAACUACGCACACAAUAUGCCAAAACUAUUUUGUAAAAGUUAUUGACUCUGCAGCUUUUGUUUGCUGCGGAACAUGAAUUACUCCUAAUUCUCUUGAUUGAAUCUUUAAUAUUGGAUGGACUCCCUGUUUCAAAUUACUUUGAUGAAAAAUGUGUCAUCAAGUAUCAUUUUUCAAAUGAACAGACUUCGAACGAAGAAAAUCUUACUACACAAAAAAAUUCUUUGAUGAAAAGUGUGUCAUCUACUAUCAUUUAUCAACCAUUUUAUUUCUCAAUACACAAUACAACACACACACACAAACAUAUAUAUGCCUAACUUUGAUCUAUUGAAAUUUAUUUAGAUGGCGAGUUUUCUGACUGAUUUGGCGAAGCCUUAUGUAGAUAAAUUGAUAAAUGGGGCGAUUGAAGAGUCAAGUUAUAUAUGUUGCUUCACGUGCAUUGCUAAGGAUUUUGAAGAAGAAAGAGCUAGACUAGAAGUAGAAAGGACGAAGAUGUUUAAGUUACUGCUCUUUCUUGGGAAGAAGAAGCCGAUAAGCUUAUUCAAGAAGACACAAGAACAAAACAAAAAUUACCACCACUUCACUUUCUAGAAGUUGUUUUAGGAAAUUCUGACGAUGCCAACAUGGUACUAGGGUUUAUGAGAUCCAAAGGCGCUGCCUUUUACUACCCCCACCGGACCAUGGGUUCCGGUGGUCUUGCCGACUCCUGUUUUCUUCAUCUUUUUGCUUUGCUGAAAGCCUUGGAGAGAGCAAAUGGAUUCGUUGUCAAUAUUGAUGAUCCGGAAUCUGUGCUUAACUUGAUCGCUAUGCUGAGAGACUUCCAAUUUGAUGGUGCUUGGAUUGAUGCUUUGGAAAAAGUUGUGAAAGAGUCCAUUGGUGUGUCAAACACUAAACUAGCAAGUUUGGAAAAGGCCAAGGGUCAAUCGGCCAUGAGGCUUGGACAAGCAACACUGAUUCGUGAUUAUCAUCAAAAACAAAUGGAGUUAGAGCAAGGCAAAAUUCUCUCACUUGACUUGGAGCGUGAAAGGAUCUUGAAGUUUAGGCAGGAACUUAACAAUGUUCGUAUGAUUUAGGUUGGGAAUUUGUUUUUUAGCACCUUUUUCAAGAUCCUGCCUAAACUUCAAGAUCCUUUCACGCUCCAAGUCAAGUGAGAGAAUUUUGCCUUGCUCUAACUCCAUUUGUUUUUUAUGAUAAUCACGAAUCAGUGUUGCUUGUCCAAGCCUCAUGGCCGAUUGACCCUUGGUCUUUCCUAACUUGCUAGUUUAGCGUUUGACACACCAAUGGACUCUUUCACAACUUUUUCUAAAGCAUCAAUCCAAGCACCACCAAAUUGGAAGUCUCUCAGCAUAGCGAUCAAGUUAAGCACGGAUUCCGGAUCAUCAAUAUUGACAACGAAUCCGUUUGCUCUCUCCAAGGUUUUCAGCAAAGCAAGAAGAUGAAGAAAACAGGAGUCGGCAAGACCACCGGAACCCAUGGUCCGAUGGGGGUAGUAAAAGGCAGCGCCUUUGGAUCUCAUAAACCCUAGUACCAUGUUGGCAUCGUCAAAAUUUCCUAAAACAGCUUCUAGAAAGUGAAGUGGUGGAAGAUUGGUUGCACCAAUCUCGACCACCGUCGCCACGGUGGAGUGGAGAAAACGGAGGACCUCCGUUACGGCGGCGAGCUGGAGGAGUAACCUGAACCCAAACAUCAAAUUUAAAUGAUUCACAUUUCCACAUUUGGAAAAACUUGAACUCAAUAACUGCGGGGACGGUAAAAUCAUCAAGGUAUCCCUAUUUUGUAUAUCUUUGUUAUUCGUGAAUCUAAACUUGAUGAUUUUAAGUCAGCAUAUAUUUUUAAAUGAAUAAUGUUCAAGCCUGCAAAAAACAUUAAAAUUCAAAGGAUGAUUAAACAUGCGGAUUUUUUAAACAAGUAAUUUUAUGUUGGGACAAAAAAGAAAACAUAAUAAUUUUAUGUGAACUAAAAACAUUUAAUUUUUUUAAACAAAUACAUUUUUUUAGAGUGUGUCUACUAAUAUGCACCUCUUAAAAUUGGUUCAAGGGUGGUUUACUAUAUUUAGUAAACAAUGAGAUUUAUAUUAAUAAAAUAUGAAGAACAGAAAAAAUAUUUUAUUAUAAUUUACUAAAAUAAAGAAGGGUCCACCUUUGGAUGGUCCAUAUUAAAUAUUAGAAAAAAUAGCGAGUUCAUCUAUCUGAGAACUCUUAUUUAUAGAGAAGAUGAACUAAGUGGUUGCCACUUAAGUGAAAGAAUAAAAAUGAGAAAUAUAUAAAUAAAAAUAAAGAGAUACAAAGACCAUGCAGACAUUAAACAUAUUCCUGGUACAACCAAGCUGAAAAUAAAUCAUGGAAAUACAAACCAAAUAGAUCAACCUUAAUCAAUCCUAACAAAACAAUCACUCAUUACGAACGCAACUCAGUGAACUCGCGUACGGGUAUGAAAUCAGGUUACAAAAAAAAUGACGAGUAAGCGUCUGUAGGAUCAAACAAGGUUCAUAAUUGACGAAUGGAUUGGCCGCAAACGUGGUAUCAAGAUUCAUGUACCAACAACCAUUGAACAAAGCAAUAGGCAUAAAAGCUCUUUUGAGCAUAACAGUCUGAUCACAAUCAAAAAGACUAAGAUGGAUAAGAAGUCAGUACUAGAGAGUAGCCCGCCCGUCUUCAGUCUUGCAGAUCUCAACAAACGUGGAAUAUCAGAGAAUCAAGCAAGCACAGAAACACCAAAUCAACCGAUUUCAAAGACGUGUUUGAUCUCAGAUCGAGGGAUGAGUUCAAUAUGUUAGUAACCAAACAACCCUUUUGAGUUAAGACAACCAGACCCUUUCGGGUUUGAGAAUCCAAGCCACCGCAAAAAAGGCCAUAUCUAUUGCCACCACCCACUCUCAUAACAGAAACACACGGCAAACACACAAAACAAAAAUGAACAACAACACAGACCAAAACAAACAACAACACAAAGCAAAAAUAAAAAAACGGUGAAACAAGUUGAACUUAGGUUUGCAAUUUUUGUAAUAAAGUGCAACAAGUUGAAAUAUGUAUUUCCAAUCUCCAUAUGUAAAGAGCUUCCUGAGCUAAAUGUUCUGAUGAUAAGAGAAUCAGAUGAGCUAGAGGAAAUAUUUGUAAUUGAAGGUGAUGAUCAGAAAGUGAAGAUUCCAAAUCUAGAAUGUGUAGUAUUUGAAAAUCUACCAAUCCUCAGUCAUGCCCAGAGAAUUCAAUUUCAAGCUGUAAAAAAUCGUUUCAUACGGAAUUGUCAAAAACUCUCUCUGGAAUCAACAAAAAUACAUGCCUUGUCUGCUUCAUAUUUUCGCAACGGUACACACUCUAUCCAAUAUUUUUAAAAACUAUUACAUGUUUGCUGUAAAUUAUUACAUACGAUUUGUUUAAAGGAGCGGUAAGAGGUAUGCAUGCAUAAGUAUUUCUAAAAUGUAAGGGCUCAUGUAGUGACCUAUCUAAUAGAAGCUUUGAUUUUAUGUAAAAUUUAAUUAUUAGGUAGAUUGAUAAACAAUUUUGUGCAUCUUUAAACUUGAAAAUGGUGAUAUACAAUUGAAAGUGGAAGUUUUUAUUUUAUUAUUAUGCUUGAGUUACUAUAUAAUGAUGUUAAUCUCUAUAUUAUUUUGCUGUAGAUCCUGAAUUGUGUAGGUAUUUCAAGACUCUGUUUCGACAACAACUACAAAAAGAGACCAAAGGCAACAAUAGUGGUAAUGAAAAUCCAGAAACCUCUAAAAAAAUUGCCGUUGGGGUUGAAGUUAAAGCAUCAUCAGAACAUGAGCUGACUUCUCCAAAGGUCAAUACCGAUCUAUUGAUUCAAGCUUACCGCACCAGAAUUUAAUCAACGUGACAAUGUAUUUGAUUCAACCAUGCUAUUUUUUGUGCAGAAAAAAAUGAAACGGACACCAGAGACAGAGCAUGAACUUGUGGAAAAUGUUCCCGAUUUAGAAAUACCAACAAAUUCAAAAGUGAUUUCCAGGCCAUGUCAAACUGCGUUAGAAUUUUAAUGGAUGUAAUUAAUAGCUGAAGAUCAUUAUUGCUUCUGUUCUUGUUACAGGAGUUGAUGAAUGAACAAUCGAUGGAACAGCAACGUCUACUUGGAGAACCUGAUACUACCAUCAAACUCUGUUGUCAAUAGCGGCCUAACGCGGCGCGGUCGCGUUGCGCGUUAGGCAAAAGCGGCUGAAAACCGGGUUUUGCGGCCGCUUUUCGUGGAGCGGGAGCGGGUCUAGCGCGGCACGUUUCCGGGUCGAAGCGAAAUUACAGAAUUACCCCUCACUUAAGUGACAUUAGAAAGGUUAAUUUUGUAAUUUUCAAAGCCCUAUUUCUUCACUUCAUUCCAUCGUACAGAGAACAGCCGCUUCUUUUCCUCUUCUCCCAAUUCAAUCGUACAACACUAUUAGGUUUUCACUUCAUCUCUUCACUUCAUUCCAUCAUCUCUUCACUUCAUCUCUCAGCUGCUCAGAUCUUUCACCUCAUCCAUCAUUCCAUAUCUCAGCUGCUCAUAAUUAUUGAAUUCGAAGUUUUAUUUCAUGUUUAGUACUUUUGUUACUUUAAGCUUUAGAGGCUUAAAGUGUUUGCUACCUUGAAUUUUAUUAGUAUUUCUUGCAAGUAUGUUCUUAUGUUUUGCCUAAGACAUGUUUUAUUUCAAAUUAUGAAUUGAGUAAUAUUUAAGUUGUUUUAGUAUUUCUUUUUCAACAUUAUAGUAUUUUAGUAUUAAAUAUAUUAGUGUCCGCGUCAUGUAAUAGCGCCCGCGUCGCGCCCGCAUACCGCACCGCGUCAAUUUUUGGUGUGGCCGCGCCGCGUUUCCGCUUUGACAACAGAGCCGUCAAACCUUCUCAGGUAAAUCAUGUAAUGUCGUAACACCGCGUUGUGCAUAUAAAGCUAAAAAUGAAAUACCGAAAGAAACAUAUUUUAUUUCAAGUGAAUCUUACAAAUAUGCACAACUAACUAAUUUACCUUUCUAUUGUAUACAAUUAGUUGGAGGUGUCUACCAUUUCAGAACCAAAGAAUGUAGCAGAAACGUGUUCCACCAAUUCACCAACAAAGAAUUAGCCACCUAUACAAGUAGUUACUCCUUGCUAGUAUUCUUUUUGACACUUUGUCUAUGCAGGAAUUGACUUAUACUACAAUCUUAAACAUCUUUUUAAUUUUAAGCAGGUUAGCGAAAUAAGUGUUGAAGAAGGAACUACUUUAUGGAUGAUGAUUUGUCCAUUCUCUCCUUCCGAAUCUUUCGUCCUUUUCGGUUUGACAACAGAUAUUAAGAAAGUACAAAAUUAGACAGGUUUAGUCCAUUUUAUUCGUAAUCCAUUCAAUGCAUGCUUUCGGUUUUUUGUAAGUGUGCAAAAGAAAAAACAUCUUUCAUUAUAUUUGGUUUCCUAAAAGAACCAAAAUUUUGGGACAAAAAUAAAAACUAAAAGAACCAAAGAUCAAGUACGGACGGAGUAAUAUGUAUUGAGGCUAAUCCAAAAAAUCAUAUUAAGACUUCAUGAUGAUAUCAUUUGUAUGUUUGAAUUUUUGUAGUAAUAUAGUGACGGCGAAAUGGCCAUAUCUUCUCCUCCAAUUUCCAUGACAAGGCAUUUUGCCACUCCAGACGUUCAUGUUAAUAACUUGCAGGAAACUAGUAACACUAAUGAUGAUCAAGGUGAAGACUCUUUGGAUCAAUUUUAUUUUCUUAAGUUAUCUCAUCACCCUUUUCAUUUUGAAGUUUAAAUCUCUUCUCUCACACCUUUUGUUCAGUUUCUCUAAAUGACGAUGCCGUCAUAAAAGUAACCUCAAUUGUUGAGGAACGAUAUUCUAAGGAUGUCGAAUUUGAAGUUCUAGAAUCGAAGCCCGCCCUUAUCAUUCCUUCGC